AGGAUCAUGACUGUUGGAGGAAGUCAGAAGAAGUUUCAGUCGGGGCGUCGGCUUGUAGAAGGCUUGGUCGAAUAUUGUUGCUGGCAGAUGAAAGGCUGAGGUUAAGUCGACACGAGGGCAGCAGGUUGGUUCAAUGAAUGGGAACAUAAUGUGUGCUUCUGGUCAUAAAGCUUGAAGAUCGAAAUAGCAAAAUCGAAAGUGUGUCUAGAAUAGGAUUAGGAUAUUUUCUUUGUAGUUUUCGAUGUGGAUGUUUCGGCGUAAUGACUUGGAAUUGAUUUUGUGUAAUUGUGGAUGAACUCAGAUGUCGUAAUGAUAAUGGGAAUUGAAAGAAUGUAUAGAUCAAAUGGAUUCGGGCCUUAGUAAAGGGAUUUGAAAUGGAUGUAUAGACACUCGACUUUUGUAUUGACUUAUAUCUCAACCAAAUACAAAUGAAGUUUUACUUCUA